AUUGAACGCUGGCGGCAGGCCUAACACAUGCAAGUCGAGCGGAUGAAGGGAGCUUGCUCCUGGAUUCAGCGGCGGACGGGUGAGUAAUGCCUAGGAAUCUGCCUGGUAGUGGGGGAUAACGUCCGGAAACGGGCGCUAAUACCGCAUACGUCCUGAGGGAGAAAGUGGGGGAUCUUCGGACCUCACGCUAUCAGAUGAUCCUAGGUCGGAUUAGCUAGUUGGUGGGGUAAAGGCCUACCAAGGCGACGAUCCGUAACUGGUCUGAGAGGAUGAUCAGUCACACUGGAACUGAGACACGGUCCAGACUCCUACGGGAGGAAGCAGUGGGGAAUAUUGGACAAUGGGCGAAAGCCUGAUCCAGCCAUGCCGCGUGUGUGAAGAAGGUCUUCGGAUUGUAAAGCACUUUAAGUUGGGAGGAAGGGCAGUAAGUUAAUACCUUGCUGUUUUGACGUUACCAACAGAAUAAGCACCGGCUAACUUCGUG
rnacentral:rRNA from 1 species